UACGGGGGGAGCAAGCGUUGUUCGGAUUUACUGGGCGUAAAGAGCGCGUAGGCGGUCCGGUAAGUCGGUUGUGAAAACUGGGGGCUCAACCCUCAGAGGCCGACCGAUACUGUCGGGCUAGAGUCCGGAAGAGGCGAGUGGAAUUCCUGGUGUAGCGGUGAAAUGCGCAGAUAUCAGGAGGAACACCAAUGGCGAAGGCAGCUCGCUGGGACGGUACUGACGCUGAGGCGCGAAAGCGUGGGGAGCAAACAGG
rnacentral:rRNA from 1 species